UUGUGUGCAGGAUGGAGAUGCACAACCAGCGUAUCGCGUAGCCUGACAGUACGCCUGCAGCCCGCUUCGCGCCCAGCUUCGGCCAAGGUGACGAUCGCAGGUGGAAGCCUCAAGGCCAACGGCCGAUGCUCCAACCGAGCGACACCUGACACGAAUCCCGCGACGACCCGGCUGCCUGAGCCUUUCGGCUGUCACGCCCGCACCAUGCCUGGUUGAUUCCUCCUCCUGUGGAGCUGCAACGGCAGUCGCUCAAGCGCCUGCAGGAGACGUAGUCGCGGCACGCCCCCGGGCCUGCUGCUGGACACGAAGACCGGAUCUACACCGGUUUCGAUACGACCCCGUGCACCCUUCUUUCGA
rfam:Pseudomonas oryzihabitans strain TSDA-ARS-TSMARC-56511, complete genome.